ACUUGCCUGCGACUGAUGUUGUUUGCACUCAGCCGUCUCGGCUUUGCACUAGGUCGGGUAGGCCUGUUAAGCCUCCAGCCAGACUUAUAUGUGAAAUGAAUGAACAGGUUGUGGAUGAUUCAAUGUCAACUGUGGACUCUCUGUUUUCCUUUGUAAGGACCAUGUUUGCAGGGUAGAUUUGUGUUGUUUCAAAGUUUUUUUGUUUUGUUUUUUUUUCCUCAGUGACUGCUUUGUAGAGCAAUGGUUGUAUGUCAAAAGGUGUAAAUGGCAUCUUUUGGGUCUGUGUUGGUAAGAGUAAUGGCCGCACUUUUGCUAACAUUAUUCCUCAUGGAUAGUUUUGAACUGAUGUGACUACUAUGUGCUCUUUUUAUUGCACUUUUAUUUUAGUGCUGUGUGUACUUGUUUGAUACAACCCCAUUUUAGCAGAAUUUACAGGGGGUGUAUGUAACAUAGUUAAAAUGGUUCAGGUUAAAUCCUGCUAAAAUGCACCAUCUGCUGGUAAAACGGGGUAUUGCAUUCACCCUAGAAAGAGCGGGGUAUUAUGGGUAAUCCUCAGAGCCAUGAGGAUCACUGUCGAGGAGUUUCUUUCAUGCCAGAGACUGACUUUACCUCGGUGCCCAUGUGUGAAAUGCAGGUAUG